UACGUAGGGUGCGAGCGUUUGUCCGGAAUUAUUGGGCGUAAAGAGCUCGUAGGCGGUCUGUCGCGUCUGCUGUGAAAACUCAGGGCUUAACCCUGAGCUUGCAGUGGGUACGGGCAGACUAGAGUGCGGUAGGGGAGACUGGAAUUCCUGGUGUAGCGGUGAAAUGCGCAGAUAUCAGGAGGAACACCGGUGGCGAAGGCGGGUCUCUGGGCCGGUAACUGACGCUGGAGGAGCGGAAAGCAUGGGGGAGCGAACAGG
rnacentral:rRNA from 1 species